rnacentral:rRNA from 1 species
GACGAACGCUGGCGGCGUGCUUAACACAUGCAAGUCGAACGGAAAGGCCCUGCUUUUGUGGGGUGCUCGAGUGGCGAACGGGUGAGUAACACGUGAGUAACCUGCCCUUGACUUUGGGAUAACUUCAGGAAACUGGGGCUAAUACCGGAUAGGAGCGCCUGCUGCAUGGUGGGGGUUGGAAAGUGUCGGCGGUGGGGGAUGGACUCGCGGCUUAUCAGCUUUUUGGUGGGGGAGUGGCUUACCAAGGCUUUGACGGGUAGCCGGCCUGAGAGGGUGACCGGCCACAUUGGGACUGAGAUACGGCCCAGACUCCUACGGGAGGCAGCAGUGGGGAAUAUUGCACAAUGGGCGGAAGCCUGAUGCAGCAACGCCGCGUGCGGGAUGACGGCCUUCGGGUUGUAAACCGCUUUCGCCUGUGACGAAGCGUGAGUGACGGUAAUGGGUAAAGAAGCACCGGCUAACUACGUG